rnacentral:tRNA from 2 species
GGGCGAAUGGCGAAAUUGGUAGACGCACCACACUCAAAAUGUGGCGUAGCAAUACAUGUCGGUUCGAGUCCGACUUUGCCCA